rnacentral:rRNA from 1 species
GAUGAACGCUAGCUACAGGCUUAACACAUGCAAGUCGAGGGGUAACAAGAGUAAAGCUUGCUUUUCUUGUUGACGACCGGCGCACGGGUGAGUAACGCGUAUCCAACCUUCCUAUAACUGGGGAAUAACCUUGCGAAAGUAAGACUAAUACCCUAUGAUUUCCUUUGAUGACAUCAGAUUAGGAAUAAAGAUUUAUCGGUUAUAGAUGGGCAUGCGUCGGAUUAGCUUGUUGGCGGGGUGACGGCACACCAAGGGAACGGUCAGUAGGGUUUCUGAAAGGAAGGUCCCCCACAUUGGAACUGGGACACGGGCCAAACUCCUACGGGAGGCAGCAGUGAGGAAUAUUGGUCAAUGGGCGGAAGCCUGAACCAGCCAAGUAGCGUGCAGGAUGACGGCCCUAUGGGUUGUAAACUGCUUUUAUACAGGAAUAAAGUUAGCCACGUGUGGUUAUUUGUAGGUACUGUAUGAAUAAGGACCGGCUAAUUCCGUGCCAGCCGCCGCCGUAA